CACGUUGUUUGAUUCGAUUGCCUGCAACUAAUCGUGUGAGUCAAGAAAUUCCUCCAUAUUCAUUGACCACACACGAUAGUUGGUCUUCGAGAGCUUGAGGGAUGGCGCCGGCAGCACAUCUCCCCCCCAGGCUCGCCGGAUGAGCUCGCCUCGCUGGUCUUCUUCACCAUCUUCAAGAUCCACUGAAUCGAGUGGCUCUGAUACCACUUGUUGGCUUCUUGAACUCAUAACUGCUUCAAGAAAUCCUUAAAAUAGCAUAGGAACAGAAGAACGCCAUGGAUAACAAGAAAUCAAG
rnacentral:lncRNA from 1 species